rnacentral:rRNA from 1 species
CCUACGUGAGGCAGCAGUGGGGAAUAUUGCACAAUGGGGGAAACCCUGAUGCAGCGACGCCGCGUGAGUGAAGAAGUAAUUCGUUAUGUAAAGCUCUAUCAGCAGGGAAGAAAAUGACGGUACCUGAGUAAGAAGCCCCGGCUAACUCCGUGCCAGCAGCCGCGGUAAUACGUAGGGGGCAAGCGUUAUCCGGAUUUACUGGGUGUAAAGGGAGCGUAGACGGCAGUGCAAGUCUGGAGUGAAAGGCAGGGGCUCAACCCCCGGACUGCUCUGGAAACUGUACGGCUGGAGUGCAGGAGAGGGAAGUGGAAUUCCUAGUGUAGCGGUGAAAUGCGUAGAUAUUAGGAGGAACACCAGUGGCGAAGGCGGCUUACUGGACUGUAACUGACGUUGAGGCUCGAAAGCGUGGGGAGCAAACAGGAUUAGAUACCCGGGUAGUC